rnacentral:rRNA from 1 species
AUUGAACGCUGGCGGCAGGCCUAACACAUGCAAGUCGAACGGUAACAGGAAGAAGCUUGCUUCUUUGCUGACGAGUGGCGGACGGGUGAGUAAUGUCUGGGAAACUGCCUGAUGGAGGGGGAUAACUACUGGAAACGGUAGCUAAUACCGCAUAACGUCGCAAGACCAAAGAGGGGGACCUUCGGGCCUCUUGCCAUCGGAUGUGCCCAGAUGGGAUUAGCUUGUUGGUGGGGUAACGGCUCACCAAGGCGACGAUCCCUAGCUGGUCUGAGAGGACGACCAGCCGCACUGGAACUGAGACACGGUCCAGACUCCUACGGGAGGCAGCAGUGGGGAAUAUUGCACAAUGGGCGCAAGCCUGAUGCAGCCAUGCCGCGUGUAUGAAGAAGGCCUUCGGGUUGUAAAGUACUUUCAGCGGGGAGGAAGGGAGUAAAGUUAAUACCUUUGCUCAUUGACGUUACCCGCAGAAGAAGCACCGGCUAACUCCGU